CCUGUAUCUAUCUUAGAUACUAACCUGGGUUACCAAAACCCUAUAUAUUUAGACCAAAUGUCUAAUAAACCGGAGACCUCUUAUAGUCUCAAUAUAAACCGGAGACCUCUCAUGGUCUCAAUAUAACUAGAGUCCUUAGACCUUUCCUAUCUACUGGAUACAGACUUACUGAACCAAAGGGGGGUCAUAGACAAUCAGCGUCAAAUAAGACACAAAAAGGCUACUCACCGCAAAUGGUUUUGCUGAUCCAACUUCUAUCUAUCCCACUUCUAGACACCAAGCUGAAAGGGUUAAUGUUGUAAUGGACUCUAAUCCCCUCGGUUCUCGAUCCCUCGGUCACCAUAAUCAACGUUGAUGGAGGAUCAUUUGUAAGCAAUAACACACGGACAACAGCUUUACAAGACUCUCAAAUGAGUGUAUUCCAGAGCUGGCUUUUAUACAUAGUUUGCUUACAUUAGCCAUGGUAUAUGCAAAUACAGUACAGACUAUAAGAUUUAUUACUUCCUUGUAUUACGUUAUUCUGACAAUGGAAAGAUAAGCUUUUGC